CGCAUUAAAGUGCCCCCGCCUGGGGAGUACGGCCGCAAGGCUAAAACUCAAAAGGAAUUGACGGGGGCCCGCACAAGCGGGCGGAGCAUGCGGAUUAAUUCGAUGCAACGCGAAGAACCUUACCAAGGCUUGACAUGUUCCAGACCGGGCCAGAGAUGGUCUCUCCCCUUUUGCGGCUGGUUCACAGGUGGUGCAUGGUUGUCGUCAGCUCGUGUCGUGAGAUGUUGGGUUAAGUCCCGCAACGAGCGCAACCCUCGUUCCAUGUUGCCAGCGGGUUAUGCCGGGGACUCAUGGGAGACUGCCGGGGUCAACUCGGAGGAAGGUGGGGAUGACGUCAAAUCAUCAUGCCCCUUAUGUCUUGGGCUUCACGCAUGCUACAAUGGCCGGUACAAUGGGUUGCGAUACUGUGAGGUGGAGCUAAUCCCUAAAAGCCGGUCUCAGUUCGGAUUGGGGUCUGCAACUCGACCCCAUGAAGUCGGAGUCGCUAGUAAUCGCAGAUCAGCAACGCUGCGGUGAAUACGUUCCCGGGCCUUGUACACACCGCCCGUCAAGUCUCAAAGACUUGGUAACACCCGAAGCCGAUGGCCUAACCACCUUGUGUGGG
rnacentral:rRNA from 1 species